rnacentral:rRNA from 1 species
AGAGUUUGAUCAUGGCUCAGAAUCAACGCUGGCGGCGUGCCUAACACAUGCAAGUCGAACGCGAAAGUCCCGCAAGGGAUUAGUAGAGUGGCAAACGGGUGAGUAACACGUGGGUGACCUGCCUUCGAGUGGGGGGAUAACGUCCCGAAAGGGACGCUAAUACCGCAUGACAUCCUGCCUUUGAAGAGGUGGAGCUUAAAGCCGGGGAUCGCAAGACCUGGCGCUUGAAGAGGGGCCCGCGCCUGAUUAGCUAGUUGGUGAGGUAACGGCUCACCAAGGCAUCGAUCAGUAUCCGGCCUGAGAGGGCGGACGGACACACUGGGACUGAGACACGGCCCAGACUCCUACGGGAGGCAGCAGUGGGGAAUUGUUCGCAAUGGGCGCAAGCCUGACGACGCAACGCCGCGUGGAGGAUGAAGAUCUUCGGGUCGUAAACUCCUUUCGAUCGAGACGAACGGCUUCCGGGUGAACAAUCCGGAAGAGUGACGGUACCGAGAGAAGAAGCCCCGGCUAACUCCGUGCCAGCAGCCGCGGUAAUACGGGGGGGGCAAGCGUUGUUCGGAAUUACUGGGCGUAAAGGGCUCGUAGGCGGCCAACUAAGUCAUACGUGAAAUCCCUCGGCUUAACCGGGGAACUGCGUCUGAUACUGGAUGGCUUGAGAUUGGGAGAGGGAUGCGGAAUUCCAGGUGUAGCGGUGAAAUGCGUAGAUAUCUGGAGGAACACCGGCGGCGAAGGCGGCAUCCUGGACCAACACUGACGCUGAGGAGCGAAAGCCAGGGGAGCAAACGGGAUUAGAUACCCUAGUAGUCC